GGGUCACCUAGUCACGAUUAUUAGUCACUCUGUUCCACAUACAAUGCAAAUGCAAAUUAUCCAUAAAAGUGUGAACACUGUACUUUCUUGGAUUCUUUCAGAAAUAGUAUCAACAACUAUUCUAAGAAUCAAUAAUACCUAUCUCAUUUCUCUUAGUACACUAAAAUUAUUACAGAGGGUUUCUCUGUGGAUUUCUUUAAAAACUACCAACAGGUAUAUGCACAGGAGCUUUUCUGACAAUUCUAUCCAGAGAUUCUUACAGAAAUAUUUCCAAGAAUUCCUGAAAAAUCCAUCCAGGAGGUUUUUAAGAAAUUACCGUUUUGCAUCGAAUUUCCGGAUGCUUCGAGAGCCGGACACUCAGUACAAUUUUAGCUAUUUUACAUGCAUAUGUACUGUAAUUUUAAGUGAUUAUAUAUGAAUCCUUAAGUUAUGUGCCACAUGAUACUAUAAUUUUCAUCAAAGUAACCUGGGAAAAUAUUUAAUAAAAAUUAAAACCAAAGUCGCGUCAUAUUGAACGCUAGUUUUCGCGCUAGAACCAAUCUCAACGUUCCAAAGUAUUGAAACAUAUUGAAGUAAUAUUGUGCAUAAUAUAGUAAAAUAAUUGUUUCCUGUGAGGUUUACCAAUGGUGAAAAGUGCUAAAAAUUUCUUUAAUGUUCAGUAUUCGUCAAAAAAAAAACUGGUGUCCGGGUUUUGAAGCAUGAAAUUUUUCCGCUUUGAAAACUUGACAUGUCAUGCAUCAAACAUUGAAUUCAUGAAAUGCAGUAGUGAUUUUUAAGAGAAAAUAAAGUAUUAUAUAUUACAACAACAAUAAAAGUAUUUAUUGCUGAUUUUUUACGGCAAAAAAACUUAACAACUUAAUUGUGAGUAAGUAAGUGUUUAGUCCUGCGUCACAUUUGCUGAUGGUGAUGCAAGUAUUUUACCAUCUCUUAUCAAUAUCGAGAGCAAAUUAAUCCAUGCAGUGCUGAAACGGAUAAGGACCUUUGUGAUUUUAGUAGAACGUGUUAGAAUAAUUUCUGACAUUAAUAUUCAUGAAAUUCGUAAAGUUUGUGAUAAUUUAGGAUUGUCUGGAUUUCGAAGCAAAAUUGGCCGGGAUUCGAAGCAUGGCUCAUUCAGCGUCCGGAUUUUAAAGCAAGACAUGCCACAUAUUGAAUGUGUUUUCAGUGAUUUAUUCCACUUCAAAUGCAUUUUUGCUCUCAAAGGCACUCAUUUACACACUUCAAAAACUUUUUUUUAAUUUUCUUACACGAAAUUCAUUGACAAAUGUUAGAUUGAAGCUAUCUACGACUUCGGAAUACUUUUCGUGUUGACCAGGAGUUUUGACAAUUUCCUGAACAAACGGGGGGUGUCCUUAAGAUGGUACAGCUCAUACAAAAUUUAAAAAGUAUUCAUACAAAAUGUUACGAUGGGGUGGAUGGGUGUCAAAAAUGGCCAUUUUUGACGUUAUGAAAUUUGUGAAUAAACCCUGAAAUGAUUUUGAAGUGUAGAACAAGCAAACAAUGAUUCGACACCGCCGUCAGUCACAUUCGUUCUCGAUUAUGUUUUCAA